CCGAUGCCCAGGAAAUCCCACCUGAACAUGGGGAAGAACUUCUUUCCCGUGUAGUGACUGAAUGCUGGAACAGGUUGCUCAGAGAAGAAAUAGUAAGCAGUGUAACUAAGCAUCUGUCAGGUGUUUGCUCUCUCAUCUUCCCAAGGGCAGAAGCAAGACUGUGUGUGUAAGGGGAAGCAGAUGGCAGGGAAAGCACACUUCCUCUACACACUUGAUUGCUUGUUUGCAAAUGGGAAGCGCUUUUUAUGGAGCACCCAGAUGGUACAACAUGCUUGUCAUUAUUGUCCAAACAUGAGCAG